rnacentral:sRNA from 1 species
GUAUCAGAUUCAACUAGGAGAAAAUCCCACCUCCAGGCUCCAUUAAUCAUUCCAAUGGAGUGGAAGUUUCUCUCACAGCGAAACUAGUUAGGGGAUCCAAUGGAAAAAGAACGUUCACACGGACUAGAAGACGAAGCCAAUGGAAUGGAAAAUUGUCUUCGCGUUGAUAGAAGCAGCCAAUGAGAUGAAAAGAGCCCGCCUCCAAAGUGGCAGAGGCAAUGGGGUGAAUCGUGCCCAGAGGCGCGCUCCAAUGGGGUAGCAGGGCUCGCCCGACCGCCACUACCCCCCUUCCCCGCGCCCGGAGUCCCCACCGACGGCCGGCCGCGGAGCGGAGUGCUGACCGGGGUCCGAGGAGCUGCAGGUGUGACUGAUGGGAAUGAAGUGGCCAAGUCCCAGCAGGCAACUCCUGGGGGAGCAGCCCCAACCAUCUUCUCCCGGAUCCUGGACAGGAGCCUCCCAGCUGACAUUCUCUAUGAGGACCAGCAGUGUCUUGUGUUCCGUGAUGUGGCCCCUCAGGCUCCUGUGCACUUCCUGGUCAUUCCUAAGAAGCCCAUUCCUCGGAUUAGCCAGGCUGAAGAAGAAGACCAGCAGCUUCUAGGACACCUACUCCUUGUGGCCAAGAAGACAGCAAAGGCUGAGGGCCUGGGAGAUGGAUACCGACUUGUGAUCAACGAUGGGAAGCUGGGUGCACAAUCUGUGUAUCAUCUGCACAUUCAUGUACUUGGGGGCCGGCAGCUCCAGUGGCCUCCAGGUUGAACCUGCCAACUGACUAAAGGACACCAGACUCUGGAUGCUUGGAUGGAAAGGGAAAAAUGAACCCUGUGAUGCUAAUAAAACUGUUCUCCCUUAA